CUUUUCUGCAUUUUUGUGGUUAGAAUGAAUUGUGGAUGUGAAAGCUUCCAGAACUAGCUGCUCCCUGACCUUCUCAGCCAAGAGGCCCCCAAAUCUCUGAGACUCAAGACAGCGCUCCAGAUGCCCUGACUCUUGCUGGAUGCAGAACGGAUGAGCAGGAUCUAGACACCCUACACAGGGGUUUCUUAGAUGGUCCACAGGAAAAGGCUCUGCUGACAACGGGCCAGGUGAUGCCGGUUAACUUAAAGUGCCCCACUGUGUUGUUCCCCAUCUUACGAAUCAGUUGAUCCUCUGAUCAUUCAGAGGGCAUUCACUUAGUGCUUACUGGGUGUACCACUGCACACUCAUCAACCUAGGUGGCUGGCUUCACCAGGACUCUGGGGGACAUCUGACCAAUGGUCCUUAGUGUCAUGAGGAGAGGAAAAGGCAGGUCAUCCCGAGGAUGAAGGGAGCCUCAUUACUUUUUAAGGAGAGGGAAGUAGUAGAGGGAAGCUGGCUGGUUGUCCCUUCCCCUCUCUUCCAAAGGCCCUAUCAAGGUGUUGGAGCCUCUGUCAGUUUUCUGUGGCUGCUGUAACAGAUGAUCACACACCGGGGACUUGAAACAACAGAAGUAGAGCUUCUUACAGUUCUGGAGGCUGGAGUUUGCAAUCAUGGCGCCCGUAGGGCGAUGCUCGCUCUGAAGUCUUCGGGGACCGGCCUUCCCUGCUUCAUCCUGCCUCCUGGUAGAGGUAGAUGCUGGCUGUCUUUGGGACUUUUCUCCGUGUUAUGGAUUGAAAGUCUGUGUUCCUUUCAAGUUCAUAUAUUGAAGCCCUAACUCUCAAUGUGACUAUAUUUGAAAAUAGGGCCUUUAAGGAGAUAAUGAGAGUGAAACAAAGUCAGGCUAUAUUACCUUAUAAGAUGAUGCACGGAGAGUCACCCUCCCCCAAGUGCAUGAAGAAGGUCAUGUGGACACAAAGCAAGGUGGGAUUCUGCAAUCCAGGAGGAGGGUCCCCACCAGAAACGGAAUCAGCUGGCACCUUAGUCUUGAACUUCCCAGUCUCCAGAACUGUGAGGAGAUGGAUGUUGUUGAAGCCGCCCAGUCUGGGCCACUUGGCUUCUGGCAGCCUCAGCCUUCUCUCUGCUUCUGCAUGCCUCUGAGUCCCUGUACCUCUCUCUUCCCCGCAUACAUCAGUCACUGGGUAAGAACCACCUUUUGACCUUGUCUUAACUGGAUUCCAUCUGCAAAACCUCAUUUCCAAAUAAGGGCAUAGGCACAGGUACCUGGGGCUAAGAGUUCAGCAUAUCUUUUUGGGAGACACAAUUUAACCUAGAGCAGAGCCCAAGGCACAAAGAAUUCCCCCAGUUUCUCUUCCUAAUCAGAAUGGUUUGGAGAAGGCUGUGUUGCUUCUGUGUACAGAUGGGUUCUCAGUCCCAUAUGGGCCUGGACAGGCCUUCCCCCUCAGUAUCCCUGUGGAUCCUGCAACGGCAUUCACUCAUGUCCUCAAAAAUUACUCAUUGGGCACCAGCUCUGAGCCUAGGGCUGUGUCCGGCUCUGGAAUGGAAAGGGUAAAGGGCCUUUUUCUUCACAGAGUUGACGGCCUGCCGUAAAGGUGAGAGGCAGACCGGGAGGACAGUUGGUCCAACAUCACUACUUCUCAGGAAGAGCCAAGCUGGGUGCCGGGAAGGAGAAAUCUCAGCUUCUUUCCAGAGAGGGCCCUUCCCCGAGCUGCUGCACGGGAGCAGCCAUCAUGGGCAGGGGGAAGAAAGGUGUCCCUUGGAGCAGGUCUGCCUUGCAGAGGGGACGAGCCUGGCUCUGCAAAGAGCAAGCCAGGAGGCCAGGAGGAGGGAGCGUGGGGAGGGAGAAGGGAGCUGCUCAUGGUCCCAGAGGAGGGCAGGGCCAGUCACAGGAAGGAGUCCACUUUUUUUUUUUUUUUAAGUUUAUAUUUUUUGUGCCACACUGAGAGGUAUUGAUGAGACUUGAUGGUUGAGUCAGGAGUGGAAAGUUACAAUAAACAUUGGCAAGGAUGUGGGGAAAGGGUCUACUCCUACGUUGCUGGUGUGGUGGGACUGCAAAUUGGUGCAACCACUCUGGAAAGCAGUAUGGAGAUUCCUCAGAAAACUAGCAGUUAAACCACCAUUUGACCCACUCCCUGGUUUAUACCCAAAGGACUUAAGAUCAGCCUACUACAGUGACGCAGCCACAUCAAUGUUUAUAGCAGCUCAAUUCACAAUAGCUAAGCUAUGGAACCAACCUAGGUGCCUUCAACGGAUGAAUGGAUCAAGAAAAUGUGACACAUAGACGCAUUGGAAUAGUACUUAGCCAUAAAGAAGAAUGACUUUAUGACUUUUGCCAAUAAAUGGAUGGAGCUGGAGACUACCAUGCUAAGUGAAAUAUUCUAAUCCCCCAAAACCAAAGGCGGAACGUUCUCUCUGAUUCAUGGAUGCUAACACAUAACAUGGGGAAGGGUGGGGAGGAGAAAAAUAAAGUUCAUUGGAUUAGAC
rnacentral:lncRNA from 1 species